rnacentral:rRNA from 1 species
CACUAUCGUUAACUGAAUACAUAGGUUAACGAGGCGAACCGGGGGAACUGAAACAUCUAAGUACCCCGAGGAAAAGAAAUCAACCGAGAUUCCCCCAGUAGCGGCGAGCGAACGGGGAGCAGCCCAGAGUCUGAAUCAGCUUGUGUGUUAGUGGAACGGUCUGGAAAGUCCGACGGUACAGGGUGAUAGUCCCGUACACCAAAAUGCACAGGUUGUGAACUCGAAGAGUAGGGCGGGACACGUGGUAUCCUGUCUGAAUAUGGGGGGACCAUCCUCCAAGGCUAAAUACUCCUGACUGACCGAUAGUGAACCAGUACCGUGAGGGAAAGGCGAAAAGAACCCCGGCGAGGGGAGUGAAAAAGAACCUGAAACCGUGUACGUACAAGCAGUGGGAGCACCUUCGGGUGUGACUGCGUACCUUUUGUAUAAUGGGUCAGCGACUUAUAUUCUGUAGCAAGGUUAACCGUAUAGGGGAGCCGCAGGGAAACCGAGUCUUAACUGGGCGUUAAGUUGCAGGGUAUAGACCCGAAACCCGGUGAUCUAGCCAUGGGCAGGUUGAAGGUUGGGUAACACUAACUGGAGGACCGAACCGACUAAUGUUGAAAAAUUAGCGGAUGACUUGUGGCUGGGGGUGAAAGGCCAAUCAAACCGGGAGAUAGCUGGUUCUCCCCGAAAGCUAUUUAGGUAGCGCCUCGUGAACUCAUCUUCGGGGGUAGAGCACUGUUUCGGCUAGGGGGUCAUCCCGACUUACCAACCCGAUGCAAACUACGAAUACCGAAGAAUGUUAUCACGGGAGACACACGGCGGGUGCUAACGUCCGUCGUGAAGAGGGAAACAACCCAGACCGCCAGCUAAGGUCCCAAAGUCAUGGUUAAGUGGGAAACGAUGUGGGAAGGCACAGACAGCCAGGAUGUUGGCUUAGAAGCAGCCAUCAUUUAAAGAAAGCGUAAUAGCUCACUGGUCGAGUCGGCCUGCGCGGAAGAUGUAACGGGGCUAAACCAUGCACCGAAGCUGCGGCAGCGACACUAUGUGUUGUUGGGUAGGGGAGCGUUCUGUAAGCCUGCGAAGGUGUGCUGUGAGGCAUGCUGGAGGUAUCAGAAGUGCGAAUGCUGACAUAAGUAACGAUAAAGCGGGUGAAAAGCCCGCUCGCCGGAAGACCAAGGGUUCCUGUCCAACGUUAAUCGGGGCAGGGUGAGUCGACCCCUAAGGCGAGGCCGAAAGGCGUAGUCGAUGGGAAACAGGUUAAUAUUCCUGUACUUGGUGUUACUGCGAAGGGGGGACGGAGAAGGCUAUGUUAGCCGGGCGACGGUUGUCCCGGUUUAAGCAUGUAGGCUGGUUGUCCAGGCAAAUCCGGAUAAUCAAGGCUGAGGUGUGAUGACGAGGCACUACGGUGCUGAAGUAACAAAUGCCCUGCUUCCAGGAAAAGCCUCUAAGCAUCAGGUAACAUCAAAUCGUACCCCAAACCGACACAGGUGGUCAGGUAGAGAAUACCAAGGCGCUUGAGAGAACUCGGGUGAAGGAACUAGGCAAAAUGGUGCCGUAACUUCGGGAGAAGGCACGCUGGUGUGUAGGUGAAGUCCCUGCGGAUGGAGCUGAGACCAGUCGAAGAUACCAGCUGGCUGCAACUGUUUAUUAAAAACACAGCACUGUGCAAACACGAAAGUGGACGUAUACGGUGUGACGCCUGCCCGGUGCCGGAAGGUUAAUUGAUGGGGUUAUCCGUAAGGAGAAGCUCUUGAUCGAAGCCCCGGUAAACGGCGGCCGUAACUAUAACGGUCCUAAGGUAGCGAAAUUCCUUGUCGGGUAAGUUCCGACCUGCACGAAUGGCGUAAUGAUGGCCAGGCUGUCUCCACCCGAGACUCAGUGAAAUUGAACUCGCUGUGAAGAUGCAGUGUACCCGCGGCAAGACGGAAAGACCCCGUGAACCUUUACUAUAGCUUGACACUGAACAUUGAGCCUUGAUGUGUAGGAUAGGUGGGAGGCUUUGAAGCGUGGACGCCAGUCUGCGUGGAGCCAACCUUGAAAUACCACCCUUUAAUGUUUGAUGUUCUAACGUUGGCCCCUGACCGGGGUUGCGGACAGUGUCUGGUGGGUAGUUUGACUGGGGCGGUCUCCUCCCAAAGCGUAACGGAGGAGCACGAAGGUUAGCUAAUCCUGGUCGGACAUCAGGAGGUUAGUGCAAUGGCAUAAGCUAGCUUGACUGCGAGCGUGACGGCGCGAGCAGGUGCGAAAGCAGGUCAUAGUGAUCCGGUGGUUCUGAAUGGAAGGGCCAUCGCUCAACGGAUAAAAGGUACUCCGGGGAUAACAGGCUGAUACCGCCCAAGAGUUCAUAUCGACGGCGGUGUUUGGCACCUCGAUGUCGGCUCAUCACAUCCUGGGGCUGAAGUAGGUCCCAAGGGUAUGGCUGUUCGCCAUUUAAAGUGGUACGCGAGCUGGGUUUAGAACGUCGUGAGACAGUUCGGUCCCUAUCUGCCGUGGGCGCUGGAGAAUUGAGGGGGGCUGCUCCUAGUACGAGAGGACCGGAGUGGACGCAUCACUGGUGUUCGGGUUGUCAUGCCAAUGGCACUGCCCGGUAGCUAAAUGCGGAAGAGAUAAGUGCUGAAAGCAUCUAAGCACGAAACUUGCCCCGAGAUGAGUUCUCCCUGAGACUUUAAGUCUCCUGAAGGAACGUU